rnacentral:rRNA from 1 species
GAACCGUCCAAACGUUAUUCGGAAUCACUGGGCUUAAAGGGUGCGUAGGCGGGCCCGGCAAGUUGGGGUGUGAAAUCCCUCGGGCUCAACCGAGGAAUUGCGCCCAAAACUGCCGGACUUGAGGGAGAUAGAGGUGAGUGGAACUAUGGGUGGAGCGGUGAAAUGCGUUGAUAUCCGUAGGAACACCGGUGGCGAAAGCGGCUCACUGGAUCUCUUCUGACGCUGAGGCACGAAAGCUAGGGGAGCGAACGGGAUUAGAUACCCCGGUAGUCCUAGCUGUAAACGAUGAGCACUAGAUCGUAGGAAUUUCCAUGUUCUUACGGUCGAACUGAAAAGGUUAAGUGCUCCGCCUGGGGAGUAUGGCCGCAAGGCUG